GAUGAACGCUGGCUGUGUGCCUAAUACAUGCAAGUCGAGCGAACAGACGAGGAGCUUGCUCCUCUGUCAUUGGCGGCGCUCGGGUGAGUAACACGUUGACAACCUACCUAUAAGACUGGGAUAACUUCGGGAAACCGGAGCUAGUACCGGAUAAUAUAUUGUACCGCAUGGUUCAGUAGUGAAAGACGGUUUUGCUGUCACUUCUAGAUGGAUCAGCGCCGCAUUAGCUAGUUGGUUAGGUAACGGCUUACUAAGGCAACGAUGCGUAGCCGACCUGAGAGGGUGAUUGGCCACACUGGAACGGAGAUCAGGUCCAGACGCCGACGGGAGCGAGCAGGAGGGAAUCGGCGGCAAUGGGCGAAAGCCUGACGGAGAAACGCGGCGGGAGGGAUGAGGGUCUUCGGGUGGGAAAACACGGUUAUUGGGGAAGGACAAGUGUGUAAGUAACGAGGCAGGUCAUGACGGGACCUAAGCAGAAAGCCACGGCUAACUACGUG
rnacentral:rRNA from 1 species